ACUCCUACGGGAGGCAGCAGUGGGGAAUAUUGCACAAUGGGCGCAAGCCUGAUGCAGCCAUGCCGCGUGUAUGAAGAAGGCCUUCGGGUUGUAAAGUACUUUCAGCAGUGAGGAAGGCGGGUACGUUAAUAGCGUGCUUGUUUGACGUUAGCUGCAGAAGAAGCACCGGCUAACUCCGUGCCAGCAGCCGCGGUAAUACGGAGGGUGCGAGCGUUAAUCGGAAUUACUGGGCGUAAAGCGCAUGCAGGUGGUUUGUUAAGUCAGAUGUGAAAGCCCGGGGGCUCAACCUCGGAAUUGCAUUUGAAACUGGCAGACUAGAGUACUGUAGAGGGGGGUAGAAUUUCAGGUGUAGCGGUGAAAUGCGUAGAGAUCUGAAGGAAUACCGGUGGCGAAGGCGGCCCCCUGGACAGAUACUGACACUCAGAUGCGAAAGCGUGGGGAGCAAACAGGAUUAGAUACCCUGGUAGGAUAGCG
rnacentral:rRNA from 1 species